GCGGAUACAUGGUCUGUGUUUGCAAAAUGGUUAUGCAAGCAUAGAAAGCAUUAUUGCUAAUCGGGUGAGCCGUAUCAGAUCUAAGUACGUUCCCCGAACAAACGGGAUGCGCAAUCGACGUUAGACUUUCAAAACCGAGCGAAAAGACAGAAAUCCCUGCUCCGAAUAUUAACGCUUACAGUCCAUCAUCCUUACUUAACGUUCCAUGCACCGCGGAGCUAACUCUUCAUCCGUUUCCUUCCUUACAAUGCACAUCCGUCAGGGCCAGAGUCUUUGUGGCAAUCUUUCAUAUUCAGCACGCAAUGAACCCUUCAUGGACACCAGCUGCAUUAGCCUGGCUUGUCGUCCUCGCGGCAGCCUGGGCAAAUGGCCCAACGCGAUUUAAGUAUGCUGCUGCUUGCGGCCAAGAAAGUGGCAUUCCAAAACUGUCAUAUCAUCCCCUGGUUUCGUUGUAUUUGGUUUGCAUACAAGUCGACGUGGAUACUACCUGCUGUGACCGCCGUAUCAGAAGACACUUUUCCUGUACGGGCGGAACCAACAACAGCGAAGUUCAAAAAACCCGACUAGUAGCUAAAACUCAGCAUUCAUAGAGUUAAACGUCCCCGUCCGUGACUUGUACAUAACAAUCCAAGCAUCUCCUAAGCGUCUUUCUCCCCCUUCGUAAGGCCAUCGCGUCCACCAACGCACGUCUUACAUCCGCCCAGUACAGUGCCGUUGAAGCUGUGACGAGUAAUAUGAACGCUUAAGUAAUUUAUGAACAUCCGCUGCGUUUGCCUAGCAUUGUCGUAAAGGAGGUCGCGUCGGCAUCAGGCCAUCAACGUUGCGCCCAGGACAACACUUGCUGCAGCCAAGAAACAGAAAGUAUAUCUCUAUUCGUUCAUCCCCUUGGUCUUAGGGUUGCCCCUAAGACGACGUAGAUACCACCUCCUGACACCGCCGUACCGGAAAGCACUUUUCCGGUACGGGCAGAGCCAGCAGCAUUCCAGGUUCAGAAUUGAACCCAAAGGCAGAAAUCACCAUUCUGAGAGUUGAACGUCGCCAUCCAUGAUUUAGACAUACCAUUCCAUGGCCUGUGCAUGCGCGUCCGUGUCCUUCACUACGUUGCCAUCACGUCCACCAACGCACACUUGACAUCCGUCCUGUCCAGAGCCGUCGUCGCGAGCUUCGACAACAUGAAUGUAAGCAACAUUCGGAACAUCCGUCCUGUUUGCAUGGGAUUGUCGUCCUCCCGCCGGCGGAAAAGCCACUCAACGUAUUGCUUAAGAAUUCCUACCCAAGCCUAUAACACAAACAUAAUAACAUUGUCCUAGCAUUCCAUAGCCCUACUUGACUUGCCUACAAGUCCACAGAAACGAGUUGCCCCGGUCGGACCCUCCAAGUCUAGCCCAGUAGCUUACUGUGGGCUGACGUUAGUGAACAUGGAAUGCAAGCUGUGUGUGUGCUCAUCCCCUUUGAAAAAGGUU
rnacentral:lncRNA from 1 species